GAUGAACGCUGACAGAAUGCUUAACACAUGCAAGUCUACUUGAAUUUGGGUUUUUAACUUAGAUUUGGGUGGCGGACGGGUGAGUAACGCGUAAAGAACUUGCCUCACAGCUAGGGACAACAUUUAGAAAUGAAUGCUAAUACCUAAUAUUAUGAUAAUAGGGCAUCCUAUAAUUAUGAAAGCUAUAUGCGCUGUGAGAGAGCUUUGCGUCCCAUUAGCUAGUUGGAGAGGUAACAGCUCACCAAGGCGAUGAUGGGUAGCCGGCCUGAGAGGGUGAUCGGCCACAAGGGGACUGAGACACGGCCCUUACUCCUACGGGAGGCAGCAGUGGGGAAUAUUGGACAAUGGACCGAGAGUCUGAUCCAGCAAUUCUGUGUGCACGAUGAAGUUUUUCGGAAUGUAAAGUGCUUUCAGUUGGGAAGAAAGAAAUGACGGUACCAACAGAAGAAGUGACGGCUAAAUACGUGCCAGCAGCCGCGGUAAUACGUAUGUCACGAGCGUUAUCCGGAUUUAUUGGGCGUAAAGCGCGUCUAGGUGGUUAUAUAAGUCUGAUGUGAAAAUGCAGGGCUCAACUCUGUAUUGCCUUGGAAACUGUAAACUAGAGUACUGGACAGGUAACGGAACUACCCCUGUGGAGGUGAAAUUUUUUUAUAUUUUUAGGAAUGCUGUGGCGUAAACACCUUACUGGAAAAAUACAGACACUUAAGAUCGCAAGGGGUGGGUGGUAUAGUGGAAUAGAUACCCUCUCCUCGACGAUCCAAUAGAAAAAAUACAACAUAGUGUAAUUAUGGCGGAUCACGGGGUGCGAGCCCCCCACCCCCGACCAUUUAUGACGCUAGUGGUGGUGGUCUCUCCUACCUUCCCACAUUAAAAAACAAAAA
rnacentral:rRNA from 1 species